rnacentral:lncRNA from 1 species
AGAGGGAAAAAAGGGGGGUGGGGGGGGGGCUUACAAUGCAGAGGAGACAGAAAUCAGGGUCUUGGAGAAGAACUGGAUGAACUGGGAGGCAGUAUGGACCACAACUUUCCCGUAGUCCCUCUGGAGGACAGGAGUGCUGGGGUGUUUAUCAACCCAGUUGUCCAGCUGUGAUGUAGCACUGUUCCAGGUUCACCUUCCACGGGGGUACCAGCCCCGUGGUAGUUAUGCUGAUACCUAAGACAUGAUGGCAUCAUCUGUAGAGGAAUGUCUCCGCCUGUGAUCCUCAAGAGGGCUGUGACAGAAUGGAGGCCAGUGACUAGAGCAAUCCUACCUGUCAGCCUUAGGCCAGGCACGUGGUGAGCCUUCAGUAAACAUCUGACAGUCACCUGCCUGGUCAAACUUCUGCCAUACCUAUGCUGGCUACAAUCUUGUUCAGAGUUGGCCUUUAUAAUAAAGUACUUAUCCCCUGCUUCUAAGUACAUUCUUGUAUCUAGUUGGCCUCUUUUCUGCCCUCACACUUGCCCACUCUGAGACCUCCCUCCUCUCUGCAUCUGCACCCACGUGACCGUGGAACAGAGCUCUUUAGGACUGUGACUUCCGCUUUGGAAGAAAAUAAGGCAUGCACCCUGACACUUAUAUGGAAGUCCUUAAGCAUGGGGAUGGGUGAGGAAUGUCCAAAAUUAGUACUG